rnacentral:rRNA from 1 species
CCUACGGGUGGCAGCAGUCGAGAAUCAUUCACAAUGGGGGAAACCCUGAUGGUGCGACGCCGCGUGGGGGAAUGAAGGUCUUCGGAUUGUAAACCCCUGUCAUGUGGGAGCAAAUUAAAAAGAUAGUACCACAAGAGGAAGAGACGGCUAACUCUGUGCCAGCAGCCGCGGUAAUACAGAGGUCUCAAGGGUUGUUCGGAAUCACUGGGCGUAAAGCGUGCGUAGGCUGUUUCGUAAGUCGUGUGUGAAAGGCGCGGGCUCAACCCGCGGACGGCACAUGAUACUGCGAGACUAGAGUAAGGGAGGGGGAACCGGAAUUCUCGGUGUAGCAGUGAAAUGCGUAGAUAUCGAGAGGAACACUCGUGGCGAAGGCGGGUUCCUGGACAUUAACUGACGCUGAGGCACGAAGGCCAGGGGAGCGAAAGGGAUUAGAUACCCGAGUAGUC